rnacentral:rRNA from 1 species
AACGAACGCUGGCGGCGCGCCUAAUACAUGCAAGUCGAACGAGAAGCUGUAGCAAUACAGUUGUACAGUGGCGAACGGGUGAGGAAUACAUGGGUGACCUACCCUCGAGUGGGGAAUAACCAGCCGAAAGGUUGGCUAAUACCGCGUACGCUUCCCAGUCUACGGGUUGGGAAGGAAAGCGAUGCCGUGGGUAUCGCGCUCAAGGUUGGGCUCAUGUCCUAUCAGCUUGUGGUGGGGUAACGACUCACCAAGGCAACGACGGGUAGCUGGUCUGAGAGGACGAUCAGCCACACUGGCACUGCGACACGGGCCAGACUCCUACGGGAGGCAGCAGUAAGGAAUAUUGCGCAAUGGGCGAAAGCCUGACGCAGCGACGCCGCGUGGGGGAGUGAAGGUCUUCGGAUUGUAAACCCCUUUCGGGAGGGAAGAUGGAACGAGCAAUCGUUCGGACGGUACC